UGUCCCUCCCUCUCUCUCUCUCUCUCUGGUAUUAAAUCACAGUGCAGUGUGUGUGUGUGUGUGUGUUGUUGAGUCUGAAGCAUGUCGUCCUUCAGCCUACUGCUGCUCAGCGCCGCUCUGAUACACACCACCCAGCCUUUUCCUUCGUCACGUGGCAGAGGGGGGCGUGGACUAGAUGUCUCGAUGGGCGAAGUCAGACGCCAGCGCAGAGACCUGCAGCCGUACGAAGACGAAAUGAUGUCGUACCAGGUGGCAGGACAAGGGGGCGGGGCCAACAACUUGUACUACCGAUCAAAUGACUGGAGGGGGAGGAGCCUGGAGCAGGCCCUGCAGCGAUUGGUGGAGAGAGACCAGAGGAGGGAGGAGGAGGCGGAGCAACGAGCAGCGUACCUGGUGGCUUUGCUCCGCCUCCUGAACGAGGCUCGGAGCUCGGGAUUGGUCGGUCCAGGCGGGAUGGAGGUGAUGGAGGAAGAGGAGGAUGAAGAGGAAGACCAGGGUCCUCAGAGGAACUUUCAGGACUACGAUGAGACAGGAGAAGCUGCUCAAACCUUAUUGAACAGAAUGGAAAAACUACAACAGAGUGGUAGAGACCAGGAAGUGCUGAGGAGGCUUGUUGCUAGGAUACUGUCCAGCGUUACCCCUGACAACCUCCAACCCGUCCCUGCUCGACCUCGACUGAGGAGGGACCUGUCCUUCAAAACCUCUGGCCCCACCCACAGGAGGAGCCGGCGUUCCCUUGACGACCAGCCUCUUCCGUCUCCUAGCAACGCCCCCCCCCUCCUCCGGGUGAAGCGGCUGGAGGAGGAAGAGGAGGAAGAGGAGGAAGAGCGGCGUGCAGGGAGUCGUAGGAGGAGAGCCCUGACCUUUGACCCCCAGAUACUGAUGGAGCAGAUCCUGGAUUACAUGAGGGAGUGAAGAACGCCAUCAUAUUAUUACCCAUGAGCCUCAGCGUGAGCCACAAGCUCACUCACCUGCACCGUAACUUACUUUAAAAUAAGUUAACCAAAUAAACUUUAACUACGUUAACCA
ensembl:lncRNA uncharacterized LOC114458675